rnacentral:rRNA from 1 species
UAUACAACUUUCAGCAACGGAUCUCUUGGCUCUCGCAUCGAUGAAGAACGCAGCGAAAUGCGAUAAGUAAUGUGAAUUGCAGAAUUCAGUGAAUCAUCGAAUCUUUGAACGCACCUUGCGCUCCUUGGUAUUCCGAGGAGCAUGCCUGUUUGAGUGUCAUUA